CCUACGGGAGGCAGCAGUGGGGAAUAUUGGGCAAUGGGCGCAAGCCUGACCCAGCAACGCCGCGUGAAGGAAGAAGGCUUUCGGGUUGUAAACUUCUUUUCUCAGGGACGAAGCAUGUGACGGUACCUGAGGAAUAAGCCACGUCUAACUACGUGCCAGCAGCCGCGGUAAUACGUAGGUGGCAAGCGUUCUCCGGAUGUAGUGGGUGUAAAGGGCGUGUAGGCGGGAAUGCAAGUCAGAUGUGAAAGCCACGGGCUCAACCUGUGGCCUGCAUUUGAAACUGUAGUUCUUGAGUAAUGGAGAGGCAGGCGGAAUUCCGAGUGUAGCGGUGAAAUGCGUAGAUAUUAGGAGGAACACCGGUGGCGAAGGCGGUCUGCUGGGCAUCAACUGACGCUGAGGCGCGAAAGCGUGGGGAGCAAACAGGAUUAGAUACCCUAGUAGUC
rnacentral:rRNA from 1 species